rnacentral:rRNA from 1 species
UGGUCAUUUAGAGGAAGUAAAAGUCGUAACAAGGUUUCCGUAGGUGAACCUGCGGAAGGAUCAUUACCGAAUUGUCAACACGAGUUGUUGCUGGCCCUCAAACGGGGGCAUGUGCACGCUCUGUUUACACAUCCACUCACACCUGUGCACCCUCUGUAGUUCUGUGGYCUGGGGGGCUCUGCCCUCCUGCUGCGGUUCUACGUCUUUACACAUACACUAUGUAAUGAAGUCUCAUGGAAUGUGUACCGCGUUUAACGCAAUACAAUACAACUUUCAGCAACGGAUCUCUUGGCUCUCGCAUCGAUGAAGAACGCAGCGAAAUGCGAUAAGUAAUGUGAAUUGCAGAAUUCAGUGAAUCAUCGAAUCUUUGAACGCACCUUGCGCCCUUUGGCCAUUCCGAAGGGCAUGCCUGUUUGAGUAUCAUGAACACCUCAACUCUCAUGGYUUGCCAUGAUGAGCUUGGACUUUGGGGGUCUUGCUGGCCUGUGGUCGGCUCCUCUCAAAUGAAUCAGCUUGCCAGUGUUUGGUGGCAUCACAAGUGUGAUAACUAUCUGCGCUCGUGGUUUCCAUCAGAUAACCUCCAGUGAUGGAGGUUCGCUGGAGCUCAUAAAUGUCUCUCCUAAGCGAGGACAGCUCUUUUAAUGUUUGAUCUCAAAUCAGGUAGGACUACCCGCUGAACUUAAGCAUAUCAAUAAGCG